rnacentral:lncRNA from 1 species
UCGCUAUCGGUUUCUUUUUCUCAAAUUUCUCUCAAAAUAUCCACAACUUUGGACGUAAUUUGCUGCAUAUUUUGCUUCGAAUAAUUAGGAAAAGAAACUGCUCCAAGUUGAACCCUGAUUUGGAUCAAGAAAUAUUUGAUAUGGUUGAAGUAUGCUUCUUUUUUCUAAUUUUACUAUUCCAAUAAAUUAACCUCCAAUAAUUUGAUGAUUUCUUCGAGUUAUGCCUCCUUUUU